GAAAGUGCGCUGGAAGCUUUUAGGGUUGGGACGCGCCUGCACAUGGGCUGGUUAGCUCCUGAAACUUGUUCGUUCCUGUGUGCAUAACCUGGGGUUGGGAGAUUCGGGUCAGCAGAUCUGUGAGAGCCGGGUGGGAAUUACGUUCCUACAGUGUUUGAGAAUUACACGGCCAGUUUUGAAAUCGACACACAAAGAAUAGAGUUGAGCCUGUGGGACACUUCGGGUUCUCCUUACUAUGACAAUGUCCGCCCCCUCUCUUACCCUGAUUCGGAUGCUGUGCUGAUUUGCUUUGACAUCAGUAGACCAGAGACCCUGGACAGUGUCCUCAAAAAGUGGAAAGGUGAAAUCCAGGAAUUUUGUCCAAAUACCAAAAUGCUCUUGGUCGGCUGCAAGUCUGAUCUGCGGACAGAUGUUAGUACAUUAGUAGAGCUCUCCAAUCACAGGCAGACGCCAGUGU
rnacentral:sRNA from 1 species